CCUACCAUUUGCAAAAGUAGACAACCCAAGGUAUUGCAGGUGGGGUUUGUCCAGUGUUUUAUAGUAGUCACUUAGUCACAAACACUGGCCAAAAUUAGCGUUCAUAUUUGUUUUUUGCAUUUUCCACACAAAAACAAAUAUGAAAGCUAAUUUUGGCUAGUGUUUGUGACUAAGUGACUACUAAAAAGGACUGUACAUUCCCCAUAUUGAAUACCCAAGGUUCUCUGCUUUUGCAAAUGGUAUG